CUCGGCCUUUUGGCUAAGAUCAAGUGUGGAAGGAUACAGAGUAGAUUAGCAUGCCCCCAUGCAAAUUCAUAAAGUAGUCCAUAUUUUU
rnacentral:snRNA from 14 species